rnacentral:rRNA from 1 species
CUGGUUGAUCCUGCCAGAGGUUACUGCUAUCGAGGUUCGACUAAGCCAUGCGAGUCGAAUGUAGCAAUACAUGGCGUACUGCUCAGUAACACGUGGACAACCUGCCCUUAGGUCGGGUAUAAACCCGGGAAACUGGGUAUAAUCCCCGAUAGGUCUCGGCUGCUGGAAUGCAUCGAGAUUUAAAGCUCCGGCGCCUAAGGAUGGGUCUGCGGCCUAUCAGGUAGUAGUGGGUGUAGCGUACCUACUAGCCUACGACGGGUACGGGUUGUGAGAGCAAGAGCCCGGAGAUGGAUUCUGAGACACGAAUCCAGGCCCUACGGGGUGCAGCAGGCGCGAAAACUUUACAAUGCUGGCAACAGCGAUAAGGGAACCUCGAGUGCCAGGUUACAAAUCUGGCUGUCGAGAUGCCUAAAAAGCAUUUCAUAGCAAGGGCCGGGCAAGACCGGUGCCAGCCGCCGCGGUAACACCGGCGGCUCGAGUGGUAACCGUUAUUAUUGGGUCUAAGGGGUCUGUAGCCGGCCGGAUAAGUCUCUUGAGAAAUCUGGCAGCUUAACUGUCAGGCUUCCAGGAGAUACUGUCUGGCUCGAGGCCGGGAGAGGUGAGAGGUACUUCAGGGGUAGGGGUGAAAUCUUGUAAUCCUUGAAGGACCACCAGUGGCGAAGGCGUCUCACCAGAACGGACCUGACGGCAAGGGACGAAAGCUAGGGGCACGAACCGGAUUAGAUACCCGGGUAGUCCUGGCCGUAAACGAUACUCGCUAGGUGUCGGCCACGGUGCGACCGUUGUCGGUGCCGUAGGGAAGCCGUGAAGCGAGCCACCUGGGAAGUACGGCCGCAAGGCUGAAACUUAAAGGAAUUGGCGGGGGAGCACCAC